CCUACGGGCGGCAGCAGUGGGGAAUAUUGGGCAAUGGGCGCAAGCCUGACCCAGCAACGCCGCGUGAAGGAAGAAGGCUUUCGGGUUGUAAACUUCUUUUAAGAGGGAAGAGCAGAAGACGGUACCUCUUGAAUAAGCCACGGCUAACUACGUGCCAGCAGCCGCGGUAAUACGUAGGUGGCAAGCGUUGUCCGGAUUUACUGGGGGUAAAGGGCGUGUAGCCGGGCUGAUAAGUCAGCUGUGAAAGCCGGGGGCUCAACCCCCGAACUGCAUUUGAAACUGUUGGUCUUGAGUAGCGGAGAGGCAUGCGGAAUUCCUAGUGUAGCGGUGAAAUGCGUAGAUAUUAGGAGGAACACCAGUGGCGAAGGCGGCCUGCUGGACGACAACUGACGGUGAGGCGCGAAAGCGUGGGUAGCAAACAGGAUUAGAUACCCCAGUAGUC
rnacentral:rRNA from 1 species